rnacentral:rRNA from 1 species
UACGGAGGGUGCGAGCGUUGUCCGGAAUCACUGGGCGUAAAGGGUGCGUAGGCGGCUUUGUAAGUCAGUGGUGAAAUAUGGCAGCUCAACUGUCAAGGUGCCAUUGAUACUGCAGAGCUUGAGUACAGAUGAGGUAGGCGGAAUUGACGGUGUAGCGGUGAAAUGCUUAGAUAUCGUCAAGAACACCUAUAGCGAAGGCAGCUUACUAGGCUGUAACUGACGCUGAGGCACGAAAGUGUGGGGAUCAAACAGG